ACAUUGUUUCAGGAUUCUUCAUCAUGGUGUGAUCUCAGCAGUUUUGAAUUCUUUGAAGAAGCAGAUUUUUCACCUAGCCAACAUCACACAGGCAAAGCCCUACAGCUUCAGCAAAGAGAGGGCAAUGGGACUAAACCUGCAGGAGAACCUAGCCCAAGGGUGAACAAACGUAUGUUGAGUGAGAGUUCACUUGACCCACCCAAGGUCUUACCUCCUGCAAGGCACAGCACAAUUCCACUGGUCAUCCUUCGAAAAAAACGGGGCCAGGCCAGCCCCUUAGCCACUGGAGACUGUAGCUCCUUCAUAUUUGCUGACGUCAGCAGUUCAACUCCCAAGCGUUCCCCUGUCAAAAGCCUACCCUUCUCUCCCUCGCAGUCUUAAACACUUCCAGUAACCAUGAAAACUCAGACUUGGAAAUG
rnacentral:lncRNA from 1 species